AUUGAACGCUGGCGGCAUGCCUUACACAUGCAAGUCGAACGGCAGCACGGGUGCUUGCACCUGGUGGCGAGUGGCGAACGGGUGAGUAAUACAUCGGAACGUACCUUAUCGUGGGGGAUAACGCAGCGAAAGCUGUGCUAAUACCGCAUACGCCCUGAGGGGGAAAGCGGGGGAUCGAAAGACCUCGCGCGAUUAGAGCGGCCGAUGCCUGAUUAGCUUGUUGGUGGGGUAAAAGCCCACCAAGGCGACGAUCAGUAGCUGGUCUGAGAGGACGAUCCGCCACACUGGGACUGAGACACGGCCCAGACUCCUACGGGAGGCAGCAGUGGGGAAUUUUGGACAAUGGGCGAAAGCCUGAUCCAGCCAUGCCGCGUGAGUGAAGAAGGCCUUCGGGUUGUAAAGCUCUUUCGGCAGGGAAGAAAUCGCAUACUCUAACAUAGUGUGUGGAUGACGGUACCUGCAUAAGAAGCACCGGCUAACUACGUGCCAGCAGCCGCGGUAA
rnacentral:rRNA from 1 species